rnacentral:sRNA from 1 species
UCGAGAGUUUUUUUUGCGUCAGUAGGG